rnacentral:rRNA from 1 species
CCUACGGGUGGCAGCAGUGAGGAAUAUUGGUCAAUGGGCGCUAGCCUGAACCAGCCAAGUAGCGUGAAGGAUGACUGCCCUAUGGGUUGUAAACUUCUUUUAUAAAGGAAUAAAGUGAGGCAUGUGUGCUUUUUUGUAUGUACCUUAUGAAUAAGGAUCGGCUAACUCCGUGCCAGCAGCCGCGGUAAUACGGAGGAUCCGAGCGUUAUCCGGAUUUAUUGGGUUUAAAGGGAGCGUAGGUGGGUUGUUAAGUCAGUUGUGAAAGUUUGCGGCUCAACCGUAAAAUUGCAGUUGAUACUGGCAUCCUUGAGUACAGUUGAGGUAGGCGGAAUUCGUGGUGUAGCGGUGAAAUGCUUAGAUAUCACGAAGAACUCCGAUUGCGAAGGCAGCUUACUAAACUGUCACUGACGUUGAUGCUCGAAAGUGUGGGUAUCAAACAGGAUUAGAUACCCUUGUAGUC